CAGUCAGUCUGGCUCUCAUGUUUUGUUGAAAUGGUAAGCUUUGGAUUGGAUUUAGAGUUUUAUUUGACACAUUUAUGUAAUUGUUACAUUGAAUACUAUUACAUUAAGUCAACUAAGUUUAAUGAAGCUGUUCAGAUUUGACUGCAGAUUGGACUGAGACAGUUGAUAAUGUGUUGAAAAGACAUCUGGAUGGACACAGCACUCCCCUACCACACCUAGCACUACCCUACCACACCUUUCUUCUUCAAACAAGAAGCUUUUACUUUGUAACUGGAUACAAUUAUAAAGAAGAAACAGACCUUCAUUUGGAAUACUAACAACAUUUUCAUUAUGGCAACUUGAAUGGCAUGGCUUUUGAGGAAACCUAACCCUGAAUGUUUUGAAAGAGUUCACAAGAGUGGUCGAGUUAACUUUUGAAGAAUCUUCUGAAGUCUUUACGGGAACAAAAUGGAUCAAGCAAGCGGUGGAGAGGAUCCUAAUAAAGCCAAUAAAAAGAGAGAAAAAGAGGAUGAGAGUAAAAACAAAAAACUGGUAACCAUGGUUGACAGAGGAAGAACAAUGAUUCCAAGAACCACCCUCAUUUUGAAGCUUCCAGUCUGUUAUUCGAACUCAAUCAGCAUGACAGAGUGAUCUCCAGCCUUGUCCUCGUCAACACUCACACCUGUGUUAACGAGAGAAUCACUGACAUGUCAGCUGGUCCUUUUGUUGCAGGGCUGAAAUGCAGCGGAAUUUUUUUGGGCAGGGAUUCAGUUAAUUUGCAUGACAAAGAGGGACUUUGCAAUUAAUUGCAAUUCAUCUGAUCACUCUUCAUAAUAUUCUGGAGUAUAUGCAAAUUAGCAUCAUACGAACAAAAAUGUAUAUUUGUCGUUCUCAAAACUUUUGGCCGCGACUGUAUACUGUUUUGGCUGUAUAGCAUCAUUUAAACCAUUUAGAUGUAAUCAAAUGUAAUCUACAUAAUAUCCAAAAGUAAUUAUUUAUCAUGAGAGGGCCAUAAACAAUAUCUAGCAU
ensembl:lncRNA